rnacentral:rRNA from 1 species
AAAGCGGCGCACGGGUGAGUAACACGUGGGUAAUCUUCCUUGGAGCCCGGAAUAACUCCCCGAAAGGGGUGCUAAUGCCGGAUGAGACCACGGGAUCUCCGGAUCCUGAGGGAAAAGGCGGCCUCUGUACACAAGCUGUCACUCCAAGAUGAGCCCGCGGCCCAUCAGCUAGUUGGCGGGGUAAUGGCCCACCAAGGCAUCGACGGGUAGCUGGUCUGAGAGGACGAUCAGCCACACUGGAACUGAGACACGGUCCAGACUCCUACGGGAGGCAGCAGUGGGGAAUUUUGCGCAAUGGGCGAAAGCCUGACGCAGCAACGCCGCGUGUGUGAUGAAGGUCUUCGGAUCGUAAAGCACUGUCGGGAGGGACGAAUAAGGCGGCGGCUAAUAUCCGCAGCCGAUGACGGUACCUCCAAAGGAAGCACCGGCUAACUCUGUGCCAGCAGCCGCGGUAAUACAGAGGGUGCAAGCGUUGUUCGGAAUUAUUGGGCGUAAAGCGCGUGUAGGCGGCCUUGCAAGUUGGGUGUGAAAGCCCUCGGCUUAACCGAGGAAGUGCGCCCAAAACUACAGGGCUUGAGUACCGGAGAGGGUGGCGGAAUUCCCGGUGUAGAGGUGAAAUUCGUAGAUAUCGGGAGGAACACCAGUGGCGAAGGCGGCCACCUGGACGGAUACUGACGC